AUGAACGCUAGCUACAGGCUUAACACAUGCAAGUCGAGGGGCAGCAUGAACUUAGCUUGCUAAGUUUGAUGGCGACCGGCGCACGGGUGAGUAACACGUAUCCAACCUGCCGAUGACUCGGGGAUAACCUUUCGAAAGAAAGAUUAAUACCCGAUGGCAUAGUUCUUCCGCAUGGUAGAACUAUUAAAGAAUUUCGGUCAUCGAUGGGGAUGCGUUCCAUUAGGUUGUUGGCGGGGUAACGGCCCACCAAGCCUUCGAUGGAUAGGGGUUCUGAGAGGAAGGUCCCCCACAUUGGAACUGAGACACGGUCCAAACUCCUACGGGAGGCAGCAGUGAGGAAUAUUGGUCAAUGGACGAGAGUCUGAACCAGCCAAGUAGCGUGAAGGAUGACUGCCCUAUGGGUUGUAAACUUCUUUUAUACGGGAAUAAAGUGAGGCACGUGUGCCUUUUUGUAUGUACCGUAUGAAUAAGGAUCGGCUAACUCCGUGCCAGCAGCCGCGGUAAUACGGAGGAUCCGAGCGUUAUCCGGAUUUAUUGGGUUUAAAGGGAGCGUAGGCGGACGCUUAAGUCAGUUGUGAAAGUUUGCGGCUCAACCGUAAAAUUGCAGUUGAUACUGGGUGUCUUGAGUACAGUAGAGGCAGGCGGAAUUCGUGGUGUAGCGGUGAAAUGCUUAGAUAUCACGAAGAACUCCGAUUGCGAAGGCAGCUUGCUGGACUGUAACUGACGCUGAUGCUCGAAAGUGUGGGUAUCAAACAGGAUUAGAUACCCUGGUAGUCCACACAGUAAACGAUGAAUACUCGCUGUUUGCGAUAUACAGUAAGCGGCCAAGCGAAAGCGUUAAGUAUUCCACCUGGGGAGUACGCCGGCAACGGUGAAACUCAAAGGAAUUGACGGGGGCCCGCACAAGCAGUGGAGUAUGUGGUUUAAUUCGAAGCAACGCGAAGAACCUUACCUGCUCUUGACAUCUCCCUGACCGGCAAGUAAUGUUGCCUUUCCUUCGGGACAGGGAUGACAGGUGGUGCAUGGUUGUCGUCAGCUCGUGUCGUGAGAUGUUGGGUUAAGUCCCGCAACGAGCGCAACCCUUAUCGAUAGUUACCAUCAGGUUAUGCUGGGGACUCUGUCGAGACUGCCGUCGUAAGAUGUGAGGAAGGUGGGGAUGACGUCAAAUCAGCACGGCCCUUACGUCCGGGGCUACACACGUGUUACAAUGGGGGGUACAGAAGGCAGCUACACGGCGACGUGAUGCUAAUCCCGAAAGCCUCUCUCAGUUCGGAUUGGAGUCUGCAACCCGACUCCAUGAAGCUGGAUUCGCUAGUAAUCGCGCAUCAGCCACGGCGCGGUGAAUACGUUCCCGGGCCUUGUACACACCGCCCGUCAAGCCAUGAAAGCCGGGGGUACCUGAAGUGCGUAACCGCAAGGAGCGCCCUAGGGUAAAACUGGUGAUUGGGGCU
rnacentral:rRNA from 1 species